GACGAACGCUGGCGGCGUGCCUAAUACAUGCAAGUAGAACGCAGUUGCGAACGGGUGAGUAACGCGUAGGUAACUGCCUCAUAGCGGGGGAUAACUUUUGGAAACGAUAGCUAAUACCGCCUACUGUGAGAUGGACCUGCGUUGUAUUGGCUAGUUGGUGCGGUAAAGGGUCACCAAGGCGACGAUACAUAGCCGAGCUGAGAGGGUGAACGGCCACACUGGGACUGAGACGCGGCCCAGAAUCCUACGGGAGGCAGCAGUAGGGAAUCAUCGGCCAUGGACGGAAGUCUGACCGAGCAACGCCGCGUGAGUGAAGAAGGUUUUCGGGUCGGAAAGCUCUGUUGUUAGAGAAGCGUUAACUAACCAGAAAGGGACGGCUAACUACGUGCCAGCAGCCGCGGUAAUUC
rnacentral:rRNA from 1 species